UACGAAGGGGGCUAGCGUUGCUCGGAAUGACUGGGCGUAAAGGGCGCGUAGGCGGUUCGUACAGUCAGACGUGAAAUUCCCGGGCUCAACCUGGGGGCUGCGUUUGAUACGUGCGGGCUUGAGUUCGGAAGAGGGUCGUGGAAUUCCCAGUGUAGAGGUGAAAUUCGUAGAUAUUGAGAAGAACACCGGUGGCGAAGGCGGCGACCUGGUCCGAUACUGACGCUGAGGCGCGAAAGCGUGGGGAGCAAACAGG
rnacentral:rRNA from 1 species